rnacentral:rRNA from 1 species
UACGUAGGGUGCAAGCGUUGUCCGGAUUUACUGGGCGUAAAGAGCGCGCAGGCGGUCGUUCAAGUCGAGUGUGAAAGCCCCCGGCUCAACUGGGGAGGGUCACUCGAUACUGAUCGACUUGAAGGCAGGAGAGGGAAGCGGAAUUCCCGGUGUAGUGGUGAAAUGCGUAGAUAUCGGGAGGAACACCAGUGGCGAAGGCGGCUUCCUGGCCUGUUCUUGACGCUGAGGCGCGAAAGCUAGGGGAGCAAACGGG